GUUUGAUCCUGGCUCAGGAUGAACGCUAGCUACAGGCUUAACACAUGCAAGUCGAGGGGCAGCAUUUCAGUUUGCUUGCAAACUGGAGAUGGCGACCGGCGCACGGGUGAGUAACACGUAUCCAACCUGCCGAUAACUCGGGGAUAGCCUUUCGAAAGAAAGAUUAAUACCCGAUGGCAUAAUUAGACCGCAUGGUCUUAUUAUUAAAGAAUUUCGGUUAUCGAUGGGGGUGCGUUCCAUUAGGCAGUUGGUGAGGUAACGGCUCACCAAACCUUCGAUGGAUAGGGGUUCUGAGAGGAAGGUCCCCCACAUUGGAACUGAGACACGGUCCAAACUCCUACGGGAGGCAGCAGUGAGGAAUAUUGGUCAAUGGGCGCAGGCCUGAACCAGCCAAGUAGCGUGAAGGAUGACUGCCCUAUGGGUUGUAAACUUCUUUUAUAUGGGAAUAAAGUUUUCCACGUGUGGAAUUUUGUAUGUACCAUAUGAAUAAGGAUCGGCUAACUCCGUGCCAGCAGCCGCGGUAAUACGGAGGAUCCGAGCGUUAUCCGGAUUUAUUGGGUUUAAAGGGAGCGUAGGUGGACAGUUAAGUCAGUUGUGAAAGUUUGCGGCUCAACCGUAAAAUUGCAGUUGAUACUGGCUGUCUUGAGUACAGUAGAGGUGGGCGGAAUUCGUGGUGUAGCGGUGAAAUGCUUAGAUAUCACGAAGAACUCCGAUUGCGAAGGCAGCUCACUGGACUGCAACUGACACUGAUGCUCGAAAGUGUGGGUAUCAAACAGGAUUAGAUACCCUGGUAGUCCACACAGUAAACGAUGAAUACUCGCUGUUUGCGAUAUACAGUAAGCGGCCAAGCGAAAGCAUUAAGUAUUCCACCUGGGGAGUACGCCGGCAACGGUGAAACUCAAAGGAAUUGACGGGGGCCCGCACAAGCGGAGGAACAUGUGGUUUAAUUCGAUGAUACGCGAGGAACCUUACCCGGGCUUAAAUUGCAUUUGAAUAAUCUGGAAACAGGUUAGCCGCAAGGCAAAUGUGAAGGUGCUGCAUGGUUGUCGUCAGCUCGUGCCGUGAGGUGUCGGCUUAAGUGCCAUAACGAGCGCAACCCUUAUCUUUAGUUACUAACAGGUCAUGCUGAGGACUCUAGAGAGACUGCCGUCGUAAGAUGUGAGGAAGGUGGGGAUGACGUCAAAUCAGCACGGCCCUUACGUCCGGGGCUACACACGUGUUACAAUGGGGGGUACAGAAGGCAGCUACCUGGUGACAGGAUGCUAAUCCCAAAAGCCUCUCUCAGUUCGGAUCGAAGUCUGCAACCCGACUUCGUGAAGCUGGAUUCGCUAGUAAUCGCGCAUCAGCCAUGGCGCGGUGAAUACGUUCCCGGGCCUUGUACACACCGCCCGUCAAGCCAUGAAAGCCGGGGGUACCUGAAGUACGUAACCGCAAGGAGCGUCCUAGGGUAAAACUGGUAAUUGGGGCUAAGUCGUAACAAGGUAGCCGUACCGGAAGGUGCGGCUGGAACACCUCCUUUCU
rnacentral:rRNA from 1 species